GUCCGGACUCUCUCGACUAUUUCCGUCAUGCAGCUAUGUCAUUGGAUGGAAAAAUAACCAAUAAGGGACUCUGAUUGGCCGAAGAACACUCCAGACGAAACCACUGGACCUGCAGUCCCACCUGCACUCCCACCUCGAAUCUAUCGCAGCAACUCCACUGACGUCCCUCGCUCACAGCCACUAAAACCCCCAAGAAAAAACAAGACCCAAGAGUCUACGAGCAUCUCAGGUGUAAGAUCUGAAGCUAUCUAUGAAGACCCGGAUCCGUUACUGACUUCUAACCCAGAUGUGAGUCAGCCAGAGGCUAAACCAAGGCCUAUACCUCGCCUAAGGAGCAAAGACAAACUAAAUCCCCAACAUGACACCAAUCCAUAAACUACUGUAAGUUACAAAUCACAUACCAUGUUAAGUUAUCAAAGUAAAUCAUUAAAAGAUUCCGUUAUUAUACAUUUUUUUCAACUGGCAUGGGGCUAGUGUUUAGUAAAUCUUGAGUUAAAAUAUCACAGUUUCACUCUCUUAAUAAACAGAUUUGUAAUAAAAAAUGGUGUCUCUAUUAUUUAGUUUCCACAUCUUGACAGUGAAGGUUGUGUCCCCUGAACAAAUCAAAACAAUUCUGACUGAUCGGAUCUCCUGCUGGUAGAUAAUAUUUACUGCAUGAUAUUUCCUCACAGUAGAAGAUGCCUUUCAAUUUUUGGAUGUAAAAGCAGGUAUGUCUGUG